ensembl:snRNA U6 U6 spliceosomal RNA
GUGCUAGCUUUGCACAUAUACUAAAAUUGGAACAACACAGAGAAGAUGAGCAUGGCUCCUGGGCAAGCAUGGCAUGCAAACUCACGAAGCAUUCUUUAUUUUU